CAAAACUUUAAAACAGCCUGCCUCAGCAGCUUUCCCGCCCUUUUUUCUCCUGAUGACGAUCGCUUGUGUUGCGAUCGAAACGUCGUAGUUUUUGUGAUCUUUGUUAUUUUAUUUGAACCUAUCUACUUGACUUUACCGAAAUACCCAAGAAUAUGUGCACAGUCUCCACAAACACGACUCUCAACCACUGUCCCAUCAACCACCACCACCUCUCACCAUCCCCCACUCUGUGCCCAGACCCUCCACCCAUCCUCUCUGCCCCCACUCACCGUCUCUUCUCUCCCUGCAGCCUGGGUCAGUGUUCACUGACAGACAAGUCGGGUUCCUCUCUCAGUUGUCAUCCUCAAGGCCAACACAGGAUUGAAGAUUCUCCUGCUGAAUUACAACGAGAUCGGAGACAGCGGCCUCCGACUUUUAGGGGAUGGGAUGUUGGGGAGAGAAGGGAGUUUGGAGAUGUUAUACCUGCAGGUCUGCUCACUGACGGACAAAUCGAUCCCAGCUCUUCAUGACAUCAUGAUCACCAACAAAGCAUUGAGGGAACUCUUGGUGGGGGACAAUGGCUUCAGUGAGGAGGGGAAGCAGGAGCUGAGGAGCAAAUGGACUCACCGAGGAGGCCUGGAUAUUUAGAUACAAGCUGAGAGGACGUGCUGGCCCUGCAGCAGACGGAGCUGCCCCACGCGCGACUCGCACAGCAGCCCAGCGUAUUUCACCUACACAGCUUCUAUCGCGACACCGACUCUGAGACGAUAAUGAGCGGGAGCUCUCUGUGAGCUCCACACGGAGCCGAGGGUAAACGCGGCUCCAAAAUGCUGAUGAGCGUGGUGAUUCUGAUGUGUAAGUGUAUUUAUGAAUGUGGUGGUUAGAAGCGCUGUUGGGGGUUGUG